rnacentral:rRNA from 1 species
GGACCCGCACAAGCAGCGGAGCAUGUGGUUUAAUUCGAAGCAACGCGAAGAACCUUACCAGAGCUUGACAUCCCCCUGACCGGCCGGUAAUGCGGCCUUUCCUUCGGGACAGGGGAGGACAGGUGGUGCAUGGUUGUCGUCAGCUCGUGUCGUGAGAUGUUGGGUUAAGUCCCGCAACGAGCGCAACCCUUGUCGGUAGUUGCCAGCAGCUAGGCUGGGCACUCUACCGAGACUGCCGGGGAUAACUCGGAGGAAGGUGGGGAUGACGUCAAAUCAUCAUGCCCCUUAUGCCCUGGGCUACACACGUGCUACAAUGGCCGGUACAGAGAGAAGCAAGGUCGCGAGGCGGAGCAAAUCUCAAAAACCGGUCCCAGUUCGGAUCGCAGGCUGAAACCCGCCUGCGUGGAAGUUGGAGUUGCUAGUAAUCGCGAAUCAGAAUGUCG